GCAUCCAUGGCUGAAUGGGUAAAGCGCCCAACCGGGAAAAUUCGUAGGUUCGAUUCCUGCUGGAUGCA
rnacentral:tRNA from 2 species